rnacentral:sRNA from 1 species
CCACACACACUUCCGCCCCCCAGCACUGUCCUCAUAUUAUCGUCCCCUUGUACUUGCCAGAGGGCCAUCAUAACAACGUAUUGUCGCGGAUUGCUAACGCGGCCCCAGCGAUUUCGGCGAUUAGGGCCCUCCUCUCUCCUUGGGAGCUUCGUUUCCUUCCCUACUCUGGCAAACGUUGCGCUGUCCAAUCCACUCAUCCUUUCCGCAGGUAACCCGUCGCCCCCCUUUUUUCCCCCAGGCUGUUGGCCAUGAGAGGCUUAGAGCGUUCCGAUCCACAGUUAUUGUUCUCAUCUUCGUUCCAGUGGAGUUGGGACGGGUUGAGGUUCUCUCUCCGUCUUUCGCCAUCAAGCAAUUUCCGAGGUCGUGCGGGGAGCGCUACACGGUGGCCUGCGCCACAUUGAUACCACAGUCCCCCCGCCACAGAUAUGAUGUCAUGUCACCACUGUUUCACGCUCGGUUAUUGGCUACUAGUCAUACCUUCCCCACCUCUGCAGGCGGACGGCAGAUUAUUAGAGAUACGGCAAGUCGCUGUGGGUCACCGAGUAUAUUUUUUUUUUGACUCGAAAUGUCGACUCGGUGGACCACAUUUCAGAAAAAUAUAAAUAUAAAAUAAAAACAGAGUGAGUAAUUCUUCAAGCCCAUGUUUCGAGUUCCCGUGGAUGGAGCGCUCGUUUGACUCAUAUAACUGCUUACUAAGUAGGUUUCUACUCUGAAUAAAAAUAGUCAAACGGAUCAGAUAUAGCUUUACAGAUCUGCACAGAUUCUGACGGUAUUUUCCCGCUCGAGUCCAGCUCCAUUUCGCCUCUUCGGCCCCCUGAAUAUAUGUCUACAUCAAAAUAAAUAUAAAGAUCCAGAUGGCAGAACAACAACAUCGAGAACAUCUAGGCUUGCUCUGGAACAAGAGGAGGGGGAAAAACAAAAUAACCAAGAAAUCUACUCCACUCGCGAUGUUUUUCUCGUCAACCAAAAAAAAUAAAUAAAAAUAUGAAUGAAUGAAAAACAAAAAAGAGAUCAAUCAGAAUUCAAAGUGAAAUCGCCCUAUUAGCGCGAGGUAUGUGGCUGUCCACUUUUUCCUCCUCCUUCACACUGAUAACCAGUACCUACUAUGAUAGGCUGGUUAACUGACCCUUCUAAACAAUGAAUUGAGGCUUGAGGCACAGGCACAGGCACAAGCAAGAGAAGGCAUGAUGUGUGCAGAGCAGGUCCAUGAGCGUCUUGAGCGGCGCUAGUAUCGAAUAGCGCGACUCGACCUUCCUCUUUUUUCCCCCGUUCAUCCCAGCGGUUCUGGCCCCAGAGUGCGCAAGGCGGCCAAUGCUCAACCCAUACACAAAACGCAAAGUACCGUAAAGUACUCUCUGUACAUGACCAUGUGCAUGUACAGUACAUGUAUAUGAUAUUUUCGCAGAUUCUCUGGCAUAUAACAACUGUAUUACUCUUAUGUACUCCGUAAGGUAACGAACAUAGAUGGGAUAACAGGGAAGGCUGGGGGAGGGGGAGGAAAUCAAAAGGAGGGUUGAGUACACGGGCCUUCUCCUGCCACCCUUUCUGAUCUCCAUGCCAGUUUACACUGACUCUGCAGUGUAUGUACCGCACAAUACCUGCGGUAUUCUCCGCAGGAUCUGCGACUUCUGGAUCGCUGGCCCAUCUCCCGGUGUCUCUCUAAUGUAGAUUCUAGAUCGGUAGGAAGAAGAACCAGCACCAGGGAGUCCAGGGCAAGGCAGGGGGCUGGUCCCUGGGCACCGGGCACUGGGCAUUGCCAACUCUGCCUAGAUCAUCACAACAAAAAAAAAAGAAAAGAAAAAAUGCUGCCGCAAAGGAAAAACAAAUAAAUACAGUGCUUUCAUCUUCAUGGGAAAAAUGUGCGACGUUACCCAGGUGUGUAGCGCGAACCGCAAGGCCUGAAGUAUCCAAUAUCAAUUAAGCUCAAGACACCCACUUCAGCCGUUGUUUCGGUGAUACUGCUUGAAAUGGGAGCGGGAGAAGCAUGCCCACCUUUCGAUCAAUAACAAUUUUCUGGGCGAAAUAGCGGAAUAAUUUCCGGGGCAUACAACAGCAGCGCAAGUACAGAGUACCCGCCCUUACAUCUCCUCUAUGAUAUGUGUCGAUGUUGGUUGUGAGCAUGCAUAUUGAACCUCAUAGUUAAGACUUUGUGACCAGGGUAGCCCGUCCACCGAGCGAGGGAAGAAGGAAUCUUCUGAAACGUAGCAUUGACUGCCUACACUGCCAACA